rnacentral:rRNA from 1 species
GUAGGUGGCAAGCGUUGUCCGGAAUUAUUGGGGCGUAAAGCGCGCGCAGGCGGUUCUUUAAGUCUGAUGUGAAAGCCCACGGGCUCAACCGUGGAGGGUCACUGAAAACUGGAGAACUUGAGUACAGAAGAGGAAAGCGGAAUUCCACGUGUAGCGGUGAAAUGCGUAGAGAUGUGGAGGAACACCAGUGGCGAAGGCGGCUUUCUGGUCUGUAACUGACGCUGAGGCGCGAAAGCGUGGGGAGCAAACAGGAUUAGAUACCCUGGUAGUCCACGCCGUAAACGAUGAGUGCUAAGUGUUAGGGGGUUUCCGCCCCUUAGUGCUGCAGCUAACGCAUUAAGCACUCCGCCUGGGGAGUACGGCCGCAAAGGCUG